AUUGUAUCCACGAUUGGGGAAUUUUCCGCAAUGGGCGCAAGCCUGACGGAGCAAUACCGCGUGAGGGAGGAAGGCUCUUGGGUCGUAAACCUCUUUUCUCAGGGAAGAAUAAAUGACGGUACCUGAGGAAUCAGCAUCGGCCAACUCCGUGCCAGCAGCCGCGGUAAUACGGAGGAUGCAAGCGUUAUCCGGAAUGAUUGGGCGUAAAGCGUCCGCAGGUGGCAGCGUAAGUCUGCUGUCAAAGGUCAGGGCUCAACCCUGAACAGGCAGUGGAAACUACACAGCUAGAGUGCGGUGGGGGCAGAGGGAAUUCCCAGUGUAGCGGUGAAAUGCGUAGAGAUUGGGAAGAACACCGGUGGCGAAAGCGCUCUGCUAGGCCGCAACUGACACUCAUGGACGAAAGCUAGGGGAGCGAAAGGGAUUAGAUACCCCAGUAGUCAAUCGUGGAUACAAU
rnacentral:rRNA from 1 species